AUUGAACGCUGGCGGCAUGCCUUACACAUGCAAGUCGAACGGCAGCGGGGGAGAAGCUUGCUUUUCCUGCCGGCGAGUGGCGAACGGGUGAGUAAUACAUCGGAACGUGCCCUGUAGUGGGGGAUAACUAGUCGAAAGAUUAGCUAAUACCGCAUACGACCUGAGGGUGAAAGUGGGGGACCGCAAGGCCUCAUGCUAUAGGAGCGGCCGAUGUCUGAUUAGCUAGUUGGUGGGUAAAGGCCUACCAAGGCGACGAUCAGUAGCUGGUCUGAGAGGACGAUCAGCCACGCUGGGACUGAGACACGGCCCAGACUCCUACGGGAGGCAGCAGUGGGGAAUUUUGGACAAUGGGCGAAAGCCUGAUCCAGCAAUGCCGCGUGUGUGAAGAAGGCCUUCGGGUUGUAAAGCACUUUUGUCCGGAAAGAAAUGGCUCUGGUUAAUACCUGGGGUCGAUGACGGUACCGGAAGAAUAAGGACCGGCUAACUACGUGCCAGCAGCCGCAGUAA
rnacentral:rRNA from 1 species